rnacentral:rRNA from 1 species
CCCUUAGAUGUCCUGGGCCGCACGCGCGCUACACUGAUGCAUUCAACGAGUAUUUCCUUGGCCGAGAGGCCUGGGCAAUCUUUUAAACCUGCAUCGUGAUAGGGAUAGAUUAUUGCAAUUAUUAAUCUUGAACGAGGAAUUCCUAGUAAACGCAAAUCAUCAAUUUGCAUUGAUUACGUCCCUGCCCUUUGUACACACCGCCCGUCACACCUACCGAUUGAAUGGUCCGGUGAAAUCUCGGGAUUGUGGCCAGUUCACUUUAUUGGGAGUUGGCUGCGAGAACUUGCUUAAACCUUAUCAUUUAGAGGAAGGUGAAGUCGUAACA